UCAGGUGACUAUUGCACGAAGGUUCCACCUCUUCCCAUUCCGAACAGAGAAGUUAAGCUUCGUCACGCCGAU
rnacentral:rRNA from 1 species